rnacentral:rRNA from 1 species
AGCUAGUUGGUGAGGUAACGGCCCACCAAGGCGACGAUCGGUAGCCGGACUGAGAGGUUGAACGGCCACAUUGGGACUGAGACACGGCCCAGACUCCUACGGGAGGCAGCAGUGGGGAAUAUUGCACAAUGGGGGAAACCCUGAUGCAGCGACGCCGCGUGGAGGAAGAAGGUCUUCGGAUUGUAAACUCCUGUUGUUGAGGAAGAUAAUGACGGUACUCAACAAGGAAGUGACGGCUAACUACGUGCCAGCAGCCGCGGUAAAACGUAGGUCACAAGCGUUGUCCGGAAUUACUGGGUGUAAAGGGAGCGCAGGCGGGAGAACAAGUUGGAAGUGAAAUCCAUGGGCUCAACCCAUGAACUGCUUUCAAAACUGUUUUUCUUGAGUAGUGCAGAGGUAGGCGGAAUUCCCGGUGUAGCGGUGGAAUGCGUAGAUAUCGGGAGGAACACCAGUGGCGAAGGCGGCCUACUGGGCACCAACUGACGCUGAGGCUCGAAAGUGUGGGUAGCAAACAGGAUUAGAUACCCUGGUAGUCCACACCGUAAACGAAGAUUACUAGGUGUUGGAGGAUUGACCCCUUCAGUGCCGCAGUUAACACAAUAAGUAAUCCACCUGGGGAGUACGACCGCAAGGUUGAAACUCAAAGGAAUUGACGGGGGCCCGCACAAGCAGUGGAGUAUGUGGUUUAAUUCGACGCAACGCGAAGAACCUUACCAAGUCUUGACAUCCCUUGACGAUGCUGGAAACAGCAUUUCUCUUCGGUGCAAGGAGACAGGUGGUGCAUGGUUGUCGUCAGCUCGUGUCGUGAGAUGUUGGGUUAAGUCCCGCAACGAGCGCAACCCUUAUGGUCAGUUACUACGCAAGAGGACUCUGGCCAGACUGCCGUUGACAAAACGGAGGAAGGUGGGGAUGACGUCAAAUCAUCAUGCCCUUUAUGACUUGGGCUACACACGUACUACAAUGGCGUUAAACAAAGAGAAGCAAGACCGCGAGGUGGAGCAAAACUCAGAAACAACGUCCCAGUUCGGACUGCAGGCUGCAACUCGCCUGCACGAAGUCGGAAUUGCUAGUAAUCGUGGAUCAGCAUGCCACGGUGAAUACGUUCCCGGGCCUUGUACACACCGCCCGUCACACCAUGAGAGCCGGGGGGACCCGAAGUCGGUAGUCUAACCGCAAGGAGGACGCCGCCGAAGGUAAAACUGGUGAUUGGGGUGAAGUCGUAACAAGGUAGCCGUAGGAGAACCUGCGGCUG